rnacentral:rRNA from 1 species
CGCGGUACCCUGACCGUGCAAAGGUAGCAUAAUCAUUUGUUCUUUAAAUAAGGACUUGUAUCAACGGCAUCACGAGGGUUAUACUGUCUCCCCCCCCCAAUCAGUGAAACUGACCUCCCCGUGAAGAGGCGGGGAUUAGUCUACAAGACGAGAAGACCCCAUGGAGCUUUAAACCCAAUGAUAACCUUCUCUCUAAGUACCCCUUAAAGAUAUAGAGGGCCUAUAAAUUGGUUUUAGGUUGGGGUGACCGUGGAGUAAAACAAAACCUCCUUGACGAAUAGGAACCAUCCUAAUCUAAGAGCUACUGCUCUAAGAAUCAAGAACUUGACGURAAAUGACCCGGCAACCGAUCAACGAACCAAG